GGUAGGUCAGAAAUCUACCGUAAAGUGCAAGGGCAAAAGCUGGCUUGACGUGGUUUGGCACCACAACAAACCACGAUGCGAAAGCAGGACCUAGCGAACCAACCAGCCCCGUUAGUAGGGGCGGUUGAUAACAGAAAAGUUACCCCGGGGAUAACUGAGUUGUCUGGAGCAAGAGCCCAUAUCGACCUCCAGGCUUGCUACUUCGAUGUCGUCUCUCUCUAUCCUGGGUGUGCAGAAGCACCCAAGGGUGGGGUUGUUCGCCCAUUAAAAGGGAUCGUGAGAUGGGUUUAGUCCGUCGUGAGACAGGAUUGUUGCUAUGUGCUGGGACCGUUUUGUGCCUGAAGGAAAGGGCCCCUUAGUACGAGAGGAACGGGGGCUCGCAGCCACUAGUUUACCAGUUGUCCGACAGGGCAUUGCUGGGCAGCCACGCUGCAAGGGAUAAGAGCUGAAAGCAUCUAAGCUCGAAACCCACCCCGAGACGAGGCACUUUGACGCCCGUAGAAGACGGGACGAUAGGACCGGGGUGUACGCACCGAGAAUUAUAGUGGUGCCAGAAACCGCUUCGGCGGCGGAAGGUACCACUUCGAGGUGUUCAGCCCGCCGGUUACUAAGAGUUAUUACUGCUAUCAGG
rnacentral:rRNA from 1 species